rnacentral:lncRNA from 13 species
GGCGUCACCUUUCCAGGGUCCAGGAACAAAGCCAAGAUGACAGCUCCUCUUGGGGAACAGAGGGAUGGUCCAGCACUCCCAGGUCCAAAGUCUCUCCCUGCUGCACCCUCAGUGUCUUUGACUCCACCAUUAGCGCCUGUUUCCUUAGGGGUCCGCAUUGUCCUCUUUCUUUACCUGUAAGUUAUUUUUUUCGUUUUUUUUUUUUUUUUUUUUUUUUGAGACAGUUUUGCUCUGUCACCCAGGCUGGAGUGCAGUGGCACAAUCUCAGCUCACUGCAACUUCCGCCUCCUGGGUUCAAGCAAUUCUCGUGCCUCAGCCUCCUGAAUAGUUGGGAUAACAGGUGCCCACGACCACACCUGGCUAUUUUUUGCAUUUUUAGUAAAGAUGGGGUUUCUCCACGUUGGCCAGGCUGGUCUCAAACUCCUGACCUCAAGUCAUCCACCCGCCUCGGCCUCACAAAGUGCUGGGAUUACAGGCGUGAGCCACUGCGCCCGGCCUGAAAGAGCCACUGCACCCAGCCUUUAAUUUAUUCUUUUCUUUUCUGUUUAUCUCUAGGACCAAGUCCUCUACUCAGUUCUGAGGAGGAUGUCCAAACCUUCCCAUGAGGACCCUCGGAGAGCCUUUGGGCAGAGGAGUGGACACCAAUUCCAGCGGCAAAGGCCUCCUCCAUGUCCACAGUGAAGAAGAAAAGCUGAUCGUCCCAGCCCUGCCAAGUUCCCAGAGGCCCCGUGGAGUGAGGGCGAUGAUGAGGAUGGUGAUGGUAACAAAAACACUCAGUGCUGACACUUGCAAAGCGCGGCAUGCCAGGGCUGCACUGUGCACUGUGCUGACUGGAUCCCAAUCAACCGUCACCCUGUGGCUGGAGCCAUUGCUGCUGUUCCCCUCCUUGUACAGCUCUAAUAACCUGGCUGCGGCACAGCAGAUGGAAAGCCUCGGUGUGUGGAGACUGUGCCUGGCAGAGGGUCCAGGUCACCCGGAACUUCCACCCGGCGUUUUGCUCCUGCAUCUCAAGGACAGCUCCAGCCAUCCCUCACCUCCCUCAGGAUUCCUCCGAAUGGCGCCUGCCUCAGCACCCCCGAUCCCUCCGCAGAGGCUUCCCUGACUGUGCCAGUUCCACUGACCACCGAAGUAGGCUGUGCUCUUGCCCAUGCCACCCCCAGCCAUACCUCACCGGAUGGCAGGCCACCCCAGGUGAGACUGAGUGUCUCGGGUCUUCCCAAGGCCAGGCCCCUGCUGGUGCCCCUCACAGGAUCCCAGCUCCGGGCCUUCCAGACCCACCUCUUCUUUGUGGGAGUGGUCUUCGCCAGCCUCUUCUCUCGCAGGACAGCAGGGUUCCCACCAGGGGCAGCGACUCUCUUGCCCAUGAGAGGCACCAUCUCCUUGGGGUAGGCAUUCAUGGCUGGAACACAACCACAGGGUAGAUGCUCAGGCCAAGGGGAUGAGGGGAGCGUCCAGGGCUUGGGAUCCGCAUGUGGCAGCAUCCAGCUCCCAGUCACACUCCCUAGGACAGGAAGCUCACUUCUCCCUUCCCAGGUCACCAACCUUUCUUCAAGGACAGAGAAGCUGUCCCCAAAGCUUCCCCAGCCCCCUGCUCCAGCACCCCUGAUGCUAUGGACCGCCAUGGUGAUCCCGUAGAGACCCCCACGCUCCCAGCCUCUCUCAAGACACCAUCUCCAGCCGACCAGUCCCCAGGUGGACUCCUGAGCACUAGCCCUGCUUUCUUGAGGUCCCUCUCGGACUUUGUGUUCAGAGCUGCUCUUAAAGAGGUUUGUCCUUCACAGAGCAAGAUUAUCACCUCCUUUGCUCUAGAUGUUAUGUUCCUAAUAACAGAGCUUCAAGCUCCUCAGGUGUUUUGGAUUCUGCAGUGCCCAGGUGGUCUCUGCAGCCAACACAGCGAUCAUCUCCCCCACCCGCCCAAAGCUGCAUGGAACCGGCUGAUGGCUGGCUGUCCAUGAGACUCACCUCUCACCUGCGGGGCACAGCUGAGUUCCCCGGCCCCAGGCGGAGGAGGCCGAUCCCUCAGUCCAGACCUGCUUUACUGAUGUUCCGUAUGGGCUGAGCUCAGAGGGGUGUGCAGACUGGGGAAGAGGAACUGAUACAGC